AGCCUUUUGAAUUUAUAUAAGGUCAAAUCUGCCCAAUGUUAUUUAUAAUUAAUGGAUACUAAUUGUAUAAAGUAGCAUAAUAAUUUGUCUUUUUAUUAGAGACCGGAAUGAAUGAAAUUACGAGGCUCAGCUGUCUCCUAGUAUAAAACCAAAAAUUGAUUUAAAAAUGAAAAAUCUUUUAUUUAUUUGUAGGACGAUAAGACCCUAUAGAGUUUUAAUACAAUAGAUAUAGGACAUAUUAUAUCUAUAUAUUUUUGUUGGGGCAACAUAAGAACAAUAAAAAUCUUAACCUUAUAAAACCUUAAAAAGAAAAUAAAACAAACUACCUUAGGGAUAACAGUGCAAUCUUACCAAAGAGAACUAAUCGAAGGUAAGAUAUGCAACCUCGAUGUUGGACCAGGAAAACUACAAAUAUGCAGAAGUAUUGUUAAGUAAGUCUGUUCGACUUUUAAAAUCCU
rnacentral:rRNA from 1 species